GAUGAACGCUGGCGGCGUGCUUAACACAUGCAAGUCGAACGGAAAGGCCCAAGCUUGCUUGGGUACUCGAGUGGCGAACGGGUGAGUAACACGUGGGUGAUCUGCCCUGCACUUCGGGAUAAGCCUGGGAAACUGGGUCUAAUACCGGAUAGGACGAUGGUUUGGAUGCCAUUGUGGAAAGUUUUUUCGGUGUGGGAUGAGCUCGCGGCCUAUCAGCUUGUUGGUGGGGUAAUGGCCUACCAAGGCGUCGACGGGUAGCCGGCCUGAGAGGGGGGACGGCCACAUUGGGACUGAGAUACGGCCCAGACUCCUACGGGAGGCAGCAGUGGGGAAUAUUGCACAAUGGGCGCAAGCCUGAUGCAGCGACGCCGCGUGGGGGAUGACGGCCUUCGGGUUGUAAACUCCUUUCGCUAGGGACGAAGCGUUUUUGUGACGGUACCUGGAGAAGAAGCACCGGCUAACUACGUG
rnacentral:rRNA from 1 species